CCCUUAGAUGUUCUGGGCCGCACGCGCGCUACACUGACGAUGGCAACGAGUUUUUCCUUCGCCGAAAGGUGUGGGUAAUCUUUUGAAACAUCGUCGUGCUGGGGAUAGAUCAUAGCAAUUUUUGAUCUUGAACGAGGAAUUCCUAGUAAGCGCGAGUCAUCAGCUCGCGUUGAUUACGUCCCUGCCCUUUGUACACACCGCCCGUCGCUACUACCGAUUGAAUGGUUUAGUGAGGACUCCUGAUUGGCGCCGCCGCCCCGGCAACGGAGCAGCGGACUGCCGAAAAGUUGUUCAAACUUGAUCAUUUAGAGGAAGUAAAAGUCGUAACA
rnacentral:rRNA from 1 species